CUCCUUUAGUACAUGUCUUAGUGUAUGUAUGUAUAUAUAUGUGUAUGUAUAAGGUGUUAUCUGAAAUUUGAACCUGGGUAAGGGAGAGAGGUCAGAGAUGGAGUGGUCGCUGUGGAUGGUGAUUGUGAUGGUGGUGGCGGCAACGGCAAUGGUGGAAGGAGGAGGAGGAAGCAAUGUUGCUAGAGAGAAUAAUAAUGUGACAUAUGAUGGAAGAUCUCUCAUCAUUGAUGGCCAAAGAAAAUUACUCUUUUCUGGUUCAAUUCACUAUCCUCGCAGCACUCCUCAGAUGUGGCCAUCUCUGAUUACUAAAGCCAAGGAAGGAGGGCUGGAAGUUAUACAAACCUAUGUGUUUUGGAACCUCCAUGAGCCCCAACCUGGUCAGUAUGAUUUCAGUGGAAGAUAUGAUUUGGUGAAGUUCAUUAAGGAAAUCCAAGCACAGGGGUUGUAUGCUUGUCUGAGAAUUGGACCCUUCAUUGAGAGUGAAUGGACAUAUGGGGGCUUCCCAUUUUGGCUCCAUGAUAUCCCUGACAUUAUCUAUCGAUCAGAUAAUGAGCCCUUCAAGUUUUACAUGCAAAACUUUACCACAAAGAUAGUGAACAUGAUGAAGUCAGAAGGUUUAUAUGCUUCACAAGGAGGUCCAAUUAUACUAUCACAGAUUGAGAAUGAAUAUCAAAACAUUGAAGCAGCAUUUAAUGAAAGUGGACCUUCAUAUGUCCGUUGGGCAGCAACAAUGGCAGUGGGACUCCAGACUGGUGUACCAUGGAUCAUGUGCAAGCAAAGUGAUGCUCCUGAUCCUGUGAUCAAUACAUGCAAUGGGAUGAGAUGUGGAGAAACUUUUCUAGGACCCAACUCUCCAAAUAAGCCAUCAAUGUGGACAGAGAAUUGGACAUCAUUCUAUCAAGUAUAUGGUGGAGAACCAUACAUAAGGUCUGCUGAAGACAUUGCAUUUCAUGUCACACUCUUCAUUGCAAAAAGGGGAAGCUAUGUGAACUAUUACAUGUAUCAUGGUGGAACAAACCUUGGAAGAACCAGUGCUGCCUAUUUCAUAACAAGUUAUUAUGACCAAGCUCCCCUUGAUGAAUAUGGCUUAUUGAGACAACCGAAAUGGGGACAUCUAAAGGAGCUGCACGCUGCAAUGAAGCUCUGCUCCAUGACUUUGCUGCAAGGAGUGCAGACUAAUUUCUCUCUAGGUCAACUUCAAGAGGCUUAUGUUUUCCAAGAAGACUCGGGAGGGUGUGUAGCCUUUCUGGUAAACAACAAUGGAAGAGAUAAUGCAACUGUCCUAUUUCAAAAUGUAUCAUUUGAAUUGCUUCCAAAGUCAAUAAGCAUCCUACCAGACUGUUCAAAUGUAAUUUUUAACACUGCAACGGUGAAAACAGAGCAUAAUGAGAGAAUGACAACAUCGAUCGAAUUAUUUGAUUCUGCAGAGAGAUGGGAAGAAUUCGAAGAUAUCAUCCCAAACUUUUCAGAUACCUCAAUAAAAUCAAAUACAUUGCUAGAGCAUAUGAAUAUGACCAAAGAUGAAUCUGAUUAUCUUUGGUAUACCUUCAGGUUUCAACAAAACUCAACAUGCACCAAGCCAUUACUACAUAUCGAAUCUCUUGGACAUGUUGUUCAUGUUUUUGCCAACAAAAUGUAUUUUGGAACUGCACAUGGAAGCCAUGAUGUCAAGGGAUUAACUUUUGAGAACUCAAUAUUGUUAAAUAAUGACAUAAGCAAUAUAUCAAUACUAAGUGUAAUGGUUGGAUUGCCGGACUCGGGACCUUUUCUCGAGAAAAGAUUUGCUGGAUUGACGAGUGUGGAGAUUCGAUGCUCUGAAGAAGUUUACAAUUUUACCGACCAUGAAUGUGGAUAUCAAGUUGGGCUUUUGGGAGAGAAGUUGCACAUAUAUGAUGAACAAAACCUAAGUAAUGUGGAUUGGAGUAAAACCAGAAUCUCCACUAAUCAGCCACUCACUUGGUAUAAGGCUAUGUUUGAUGCACCCAGAGGAGAUGACCCAGUUGCUUUGAACCUCAGCACCAUGGGCAAAGGUGAAGCUUGGGUUAAUGGACAAAGCAUUGGUCGCUAUUGGAUCUCAUUUCAUACCUCUAAGGGAACUCCUUCGCAAACACUGGGUUCUGGGAAUUCCAUAGUGACAGUGUGCCAGGCCAAGAGUAAGGGUCUAUGUACUUACAUGGCCCAAAAAAAUAGGAGUAAUAUGGAAAUUCACAAAACACUAUUGAUUGGGCAUACCACCCCAUAGUGUUCCUGGAAGACUAGACAAUUUAUGCCCAUGUGUAAUACCCCCGCAUUGCUGGGCUCUCAUGAGAGAGAGGUGGUUGUGGAACUUCAAGUACCAAAUUGACACAAAUGGUACCAUGUGCCUCGAUCCUUCUUGAAACCUUCUGGAAACCUCUUAGUUUUGUUUGAAGAAGUUGGAGGGGACCCUCUUCAGGUUUCCUUGGACGCCAUUUCUGUCUAUGAUGCCCACAUUCAUGUUGAUCACCUCUCUCAA